UUCAUGGGUAGAAUGUAAGAUUACAUUGUAAAAGACGUUCAUUCGAAGCGUAGCUAAACACACAGGCGGUUCAACGGAAAAUAUUAAGAGCGACAUUUAUAUAAAGGCAGUGUUCUGCAUACGGAGUGUUCCAGAUUCUUCCGGCGAAAAAGUGAAGCAGCAAUUUCAAAGACACACCAUUGAAUUAAUUCUCCACCAGGCCGGCGUCACAUCAUAACAGCUCUGCACAAAACGCAACAGCCCGCGCAUUGAUCCACAGGUGUACGAAACACUGUUGCCAACUUGGUGCUUUUCGCACUAAAUUUAGUGCUUUUCUUUAUUCAAAACGCAAAAAUUUUGGAGUUGAGUGCUUGGUACGUUUUUGGUGCUUUUUUUUUUAGUUUGAAGACAACAAAUCUGUAAAUCUUAACAAAAACGGGGGCAAAACUUAUAGAAAACGUAAGUUUUGUAAGAAACUUCACAAAAAUCUAAACAAAAUCAUUUCACAAUGGCAAUCAUAAGCGAGAGAGCAUAUGUUUACCAAUAAAAUAUGUGGCAGCAGUUUCAAUCAUUUCAAAAUUACAUUCGGUAAUUCGCCAAUGCUGGGACCAGAAAUCUCUGCUUAGAUCUUUAGAAGAAUUUGUUAUAUUUUUUACGAUUGUUCAAAAACAGUAAAAGUAAUAUCUAACGAACCUUUUGAAAAAAGAGAAUAAUCAAAAUCGGGAGGGACGGCUCUUUUGACACAAAAAUAUUUUUCCCACAGUAGGCUCAACUGAGACACAUUAAAUAGGAAAAUCAAGCUUUCGGAAAGAAAAGUUCUUUAUGUUCCUUUAGUUCACGAGAUCAUAAGAGUCUGCAGUGUAGAUUUAAACUACCACAUAGUUUAUGAAACUUUUUUUCUGGGUUUUUCUUUCGUUUGAUAGGAAUUGUAGAAAAAAUUAAGCAAAACAAAGAAAAUUAUAACAUUUAAACAGUU